CGGGGCGUAGCUCAGCUUGGUAGAGCGCAUGGUUUGGGACCAUGAUGUCGCAGGUUCAAAUCCUGUCGCCCCGACCA
rnacentral:tRNA from 1 species